AUUUCCCACCGCAAGGGUAAGACCCCAGAAAGACUAUCUGGUUGAUAGGUCGAAGGUGUAAGUGCAGCAAUGUAUUUAGCUUAUCGAUACUAAUAGGUCGAGGACUUGACCAA
rnacentral:rRNA from 2 species